UCGAUCGUGAUUUGGGUUGAGUGAACUGAAACAAGGUCUUUCAUUAUGCAGGGUAGCUUCGGUUUCUGUUUUCUCUAAAACAUGCUUCAAAAUUUCUCUACUUGCUCAGGCUUGGUUUCACGGUGCGCCGGCUAGUGAAUAAGCUGUUUUACCAGCGUACAAUGCAGGCUUGCUCUCAUCGUCAACCAAAUCCACACCAAAAACCUGAGAUUGAAUUCGUCAAAGCGAUGAAAUAUACUCUUGUCUGUGCGAACAUCCAAAAGAUCAACAUUGAGGUUGUAUCCGGUCAAAUCCAAACUCUCAACAAUUUCUUUCAAGGCUGAGUGGUGGACAUGAGUAUUAACCUUCCUAAAACUGUAGAAACCAGUGGAAGAAUUGCUGCAAACUGUGAUCUUCUAAUGUUAGGCCUUGGAUGUAGAUUCAAAAUCCAUAUCAACUUAAUCACCAAUGAAGCAAAGCCAAAUUGAAAUGUUGUAACUGUUGCCGGAAAUGGAUAGACUUUUAGAACCUGUUUGUUGUAAAUGUCGAAG